AGAUAAAGCAGCUUGAGAUUGAAUGCAUAAUUUAUUUUAAAAUAUUCAUUUACUUUCUACUUUUUGAGUACAUAUCAUGCUGUUCUUACUCACUUGAUACAAAAAAGGUUCAAAUAAAAUUAUAGUGAAGAGCUAAUAACUAAGUUAAAUGUCCUAGUUUAUUUUGUGUUGCCAUACAGAGUACCAGAGACUGGGUAAUUAAUUUAAAAAAUUGAAGUUUAUAUGCCUCAGGGUUUUGAAGGCUGAGAAGGCUAAGAGCUGGCUUCUAGUGAAGGCCUUUGUGAUGCAGCAAACCAUGGCAGAAGACAGAAGGGCAGAUGGACUCUCACUUUGUCACCCAGGCUGGAGUUCUGUGGCGCGAUCUCGGCUCACUGCAACCUCUGCCUCAUAGGUUCAAUUAAUUCUCCCACCUCAGCCUCUGGAGUAGCUGGGAUUACAGGCAUGCACCACCAUGCCUGGGUAAUUUUUCUAUUUUUAGUAGAGACGGAUUUCACCAUGUUGGCCAAGCUGGUCUCGAAUUCUUGACCUCAAGUGAUCUGCCCACCUUCACCUCCCAAAGUGCUGGAAUUACAGGCGUGAGCCACCGUGCCCAGCCCAAUGUUAUAGCUUUUCAAAAUAUCUCACCAUAUGGCCCAUCAUUAUGCGAUAUUACUUAGUAUUAUUGUACUUUAUGUUUGAUAAUAGAUACUUUAAUUACUUUUUAAACUGAGUUUUAUGUCAUUUGAAAUUAUGAACUGAUUCAUUUGUUAUGCAUGCUUUUAAACCUUCAGAAUUACGAGAAAUUGUCCAUGAUAUUCUCACAAACAAAUCAUAUAUGUUUUAAUAUGUAUUGAUUUCCACCUUGGGUGCUUUCUUUAUUCGAGAAAUUUUCUUCAGAAUUUAGGGGGGUAAACUCUCGUGUCAGACAUUUUGGGUUCAAAUUAUAGCCCUGCCUCAUGCUAAAAAUAUAACUUUGAAUAAAGCACAUAAUCUCUCUAACUCAGCUGUUUCAUCUGUAAAGUAGACAUAUUGAAAGUACGACCUUUAUAGCACUGUCGUGAGGAUCAUUUCAGUAAUAAAAUAUAAAAUAUAACUUGCCGCAUUGAAUGGGAAACAUUAAAUGAUAACUACAUUUUGUAAUAUUGCCUAACUUACAAAUUUGAGAAUGACUUAUGACUCAACUACACACACACACACACACACACACACACACACAGUGAUUAAUUUUAUUAUACAAAUUAAUCGAUAUAAUAUUUAAAUUUUAUAGUCUUCUGAAGUAAAGAUAUAUAUAUGUACUUUUAUGGGAAAAUUAUUUUUAUUUAAUUAAAAAUUAAAUCAUUUCUACAUUAAGAUGCAC
rnacentral:lncRNA from 10 species